CCUACGGGUGGCAGCAGUGGGGGAUAUUGCACAAUGGGGGAAACCCUGAUGCAGCGACGCCGCGUGUGGGAAGACGGUCCUCUGGAUUGUAAACCACUGUCCCCAGGGACGAAGAUGACGGUACCUGGGGAGGAAGCUCCGGCUAACUACGUGCCAGCAGCCGCGGUAAUACGUAGGGAGCGAGCGUUGUCCGGAAUUACUGGGUGUAAAGGGAGCGUAGGCGGGACUGCAAGUUGGGUGUCAAAUCUACCGGCUCAACCGGUAGCCGCACUCAAAACUGCAGUUCUUGAGUGAAGUAGAGGCAGGCGGAAUUCCUAGUGUAGCGGUGAAAUGCGUAGAUAUUAGGAGGAACACCAGUGGCGAAGGCGACUAUCUGGCACAUAACUGACGCUGAGGAGCGAAAGCGUGGGUAGCAAACAGGAUUAGAUACCCGUGUAGUC
rnacentral:rRNA from 1 species